rnacentral:rRNA from 1 species
UGGGGAAUAUUGCACAAUGGAGGAAACUCUGAUGCAGCGACGCCGCGUGAGGGAAGAAGGUUUUCGGAUUGUAAACCUCUGUCUUCGGGGACGAUAAUGACGGUACCCGAGGAGGAAGCCACGGCUAACUACGUGCCAGCAGCCGCGGUAAUACGUAGGUGGCAAGCGUUGUCCGGAAUUACUGGGUGUAAAGGGAGCGCAGGUGGGAUGGAAAGUUGGAUGUUUAAUCUACGGGCUCAACCCGUAUCAGCAUUCAAAACUAUCAUUCUUGAGUGGAGUAGAGGCAGGCGGAAUUCCAGGUGUAGCGGUGGAAUGCGUAGAUAUCUGGAGGAACACCAGUGGCGAAGGCGGCCUGCUGGGCUCUAACUGACACUGAGGCUCGAAAGCGUGGGUAGCAAACAGG